GACUGGUUAGCUCAGUCGGUUAGAGCAUGGUGCUGAUAAUGCCAAGGUCGCAGGUUCCAUCCCCGUAUGGUUCU
rnacentral:tRNA from 1 species